AAGUUCGUCCAUAAGGACCGCGUUCUUCAAAGCUCCAAAGUUCCGAUCUCAAAUAUUGGCCUGCAUAUUUUAUCAAACGUUUUGAAUGGUGUACGGAUUGAGUAUGCUGGGAUGACCAUAUUGGAAAAGCUCAAACUAUUUCAUCAAAGUUUUCAGCUCUUCACCUCCUUAGCAACGAUAGUACGGCCUGAUAGUUACUCUGCAGGGGAUACAGUAUGCAAGAAAGGCACUGCAGCUGACAAUAUAUAUAUGGUAGUGAAUGGGAUAUUGGAAGCAACAACGGCUACUGGAGGGCAUUUGGAAACCAUGUCACCUGGUGACAUAUUCGGCGAAAUCGGUGUUCUUCAUAUCGAUGGAUACAAAACAAGGACAGCAAACGUUCACUCAGUGACCCAUUCUAAACUCUUUGCAAUCAAUAAAAGAGAUUUUGCCGAAAUUAUCAAUAAAUUACCUCAAUCUAAAAAACUGAUUGUGAACAUCGGAAAAUGGCGACUGCGACGUUCAACCUGUGAAGCCUUGUACCUGUAAAUCAUUCAUGAUCAGCCUAUUCUGAAGAUUUUCUCCGUUCACCUAUAUUCUAUCUCUACUCUAAUAAUUUCUUGCUCAAACAAUGGAACUUUGCCCAAUUUUUUUUAAAGGAAUAUUAUGUAACAUACUAAGUUUAGAGACUAUUUACUGAUUUGCUCAUAGAUGCUCAUUAUAUUUUCAUAGCGUGUAUAUGCUAAGUUAUACAAUGGGUUAUUUAAUUAAGCGUAUAAUAUCUAAAUAUAAACUUGUAAAACUAUUAAACUUUAUGAUAUGGUUAAACAUACAGGUAAAACCUGUAUGUUUACCUACUCAAAUAUUUAUUCUCGUGAUUUAAGCAUUGGAGAUAGUAUUCAUGAGAUCCAAAUUCAAUAGACGUUUUAAAAAAAAAUUACCGUACACGAUCUAUGUUGGCAGUUCUGAAGUUAGUCACGAGAUACCGUUUUAAAAAUUGUAUGGUGACAAAUCUCGUUUAAGCGCAAGAGAGCCAACUUCAGGUCGGCUAAGUAAGAUCGUACAAUCUGUAUAGGUAAAGAGCGCGCGAGAACUAAUAACCAUGGGAGCCACAGAUCGAAUGGGUGAUAUCGUCGUUCCUUAUCACGAGUGGUUGCAUUGGACCCAAGACCCUUAGUUUAAUUAUUAGAGAUAUCGACGACUUCUUGAAGCGCAUUGCUACUUGUUCCUUGUUGUUUAAGCAUUAUUGACAACGCACGAGACAAUCAAUAAUUCAAUAGCAUAGAAAGUAUCAAUUCAACAUCGCUUUUGCAUCUUCUAUACAUACUUCAAUUGUUUUAAAACAUUUUUGCGUUUAGGCCACCGCGUACAGUCGUACUCUUUCUUUAUAUUAUGCGUGCACCUAAUAUGUGCUGUGCCACGCAGAUUGUCUUUGAAGUUGUCUCAACCGAGUCAAUCUUAUAUUUAUAUUGUACCAAAGCAGUGGUUAUGUGGAAAAGGUAUAUGAACAGUGAAAAAAGCAAUAAAAAAAGUUACCUAAAAAUGUAGAAUCGUGGCGAACGGUUAGCCUAUAUAAUGUCAAAGUAAAAUUUACCGAAUGCUAGUCGCGAAUGUCAUAAGACUGAUUGUAUGUAUAAUAUAUAUAAUGGGGCCUCAUUUUACAUAUUGGAUAGAAGCAGCCUUACUUUGCGGAAUUCCAUGAUAUAUUAUGAAAACUCAAUAUGAAAUUUUCAUAAUGCCUCAUUUUACUCUAAAGUUUCAGUGUUUCGAUACUUGAAUACGACUGUAGGACCGCGAUCAUAUUAAUCGUUCACUUCAGGGUACUAUGGGCCUUGUAACCUAUCGCACGUAUGUUAUUGUGGUUAUUAAUCAUACGGCGACAUAAGACAAAAAAUGAGAUCCAAGUUCAACAAGUUCAGGGCUCGGAUUCUCUAUUAAGCUCUAAUUAUAUGACAGUCUAGACCAUAAUUUUUUACGUCUUGAUCAGCAUCAGAGCAUUUUCUGCGUAGUUUCGGCAAGUUUCGAUAUAAAGUGUUUUUCGACGAAUUUUUUUAUAUAAGAGAGUAAUAAAUCUCUUUUUUCAGUCAAGGGCUUCAUCACUUGAAAUCUCAGUGUAUUUUUUUAAAUAUAAUUUACCAUAAAUGCUCUUGAUCACGCCUGAUUGAAAGUGUUGAUGCAGCCUAAGCUGAAGCGCGCUAGC